CGACGUGAGGAACCUGCCUUGGAGUGGGGAAUAACAGCUAGAAAUAGCUGCUAAUACCGCAUAAAGCAGUUGGGCCGCAUGACUCUGACUGCUAAAGAUUUAUCGCUCUGAGAUGGCCUCGCGUCUGAUUAGAUAGUUGGCGGGGUAACGGCCCACCAAGUCGACGAUCAGUAGCCGGACUGAGAGGUUGGCCGGCCACAUUGGGACUGAGACACGGCCCAGACUCCUACGGAAGGCAGCAG
rnacentral:rRNA from 1 species